CCUGCACCUAUUUUCUAUGUGUCUAUUGACAUAAAAACAGAUUUUUUCCACGAUUGGUAGCUCUGCUCAAUAACCAAAAAUCUGUAGCGUCCUUUUGCUCUGGUAUUAUAUUUAAUUCACACGUUUAAUCUAAAAAUGUUUAUUAUUAAUGUUUAAUGUUUUAUGUGUCAUUCCCAGCUGUCACUGAUUGUCAUGUUGUCGUUUGCAGAUGGAGCACCAAGGCAAAUUC